rnacentral:rRNA from 1 species
UUUUUGAUUUUAAUUUAAAGUCUAAUCUGCCCACUGAUUUAGAUUGAAGGGCUGCAGUAUUAUGACUGUACAAAGGUAGCAUAAUCAUUAGUCUUUUAAUUGGUGACUUGUAUGAAAGAUUGGAUGAAAUAUUGACUGUCUCUUAAUUAUUUAUAAAAUUUAAUUUUUUAGUUAAAAAGCUAAAAUAAAUUUAAAAGACGAGAAGACCCUAUAGAGUUUUAUAAUUUAUUUAAUUAUUAUUUAUAUUUAUUAUUUUUAAUUAAAAUUAAAUAAAUUAUUUUAUUGGGGUGAUAAAAAAAUUUAAUUAACUUUUUUUAAAAAAACCAUUGAUUUAUGUGUAAAUGAUCCAUUUUUAAUGAUUAUAAGAAAAAAUUACCUUAGGGAUAACAGCGUAAUUUUUUUUUUUAGUUCAAAUAGGAAAAAAAGUUUGCGACCUCGAUGUUGGAUUAAGAUAAAAUUUAAAUGCAAAAGUUUAAAAUUUUGAUCUGUUCGAUCAUUAAAAUCUUACA